rnacentral:rRNA from 1 species
GAUAAACGCUGGCGGCGUGCUUAACACAUGCAAGUCGAACGAUGAAGCCCAGCUUGCUGGGUGGAUUAGUGGCGAACGGGUGAGUAACACGUGAGUAACCUGCCCUUAACUCUGGGAUAAGCCUGGGAAACUGGGUCUAAUACCGGAUAGGAGCGUCCACCGCAUGGUGGGUGUUGGAAAGAUUUAUCGGUUUUGGAUGGACUCGCGGCCUAUCAGCUUGUUGGUGAGGUAAUGGCUCACCAAGGCGACGACGGGUAGCCGGCCUGAGAGGGUGACCGGCCACACUGGGACUGAGACACGGCCCAGACUCCUACGGGAGGCAGCAGUGGGGAAUAUUGCACAAUGGGCGAAAGCCUGAUGCAGCGACGCCGCGUGAGGGAUGACGGCCUUCGGGUUGUAAACCUCUUUCAGUAGGGAAGAAGCGAAAGUGACGGUACCUGCAGAAGAAGCACCGGCUAACUACGUG